rnacentral:rRNA from 1 species
CCGAAUUCGUCGACUUCCGGUUGAUCCUGCCGGAGGUUACUGCUAUCGAGAUUCGACUAAGCCAUGCGAGUUGAAUGUUCUUCGUGAACAUGGCGGACUGCUCAGUAACACGUGGACAACCUACCCUUGGGUCCGGCAUAAUCCUGGGAAACUGGGAAUAAUUCCGGAUAGGUCACCGAUGCUGGAAUGCGCGGUGGCCGAAAGCUCCGGCGCCCGAGGAUGGGUCUGCGGCCUAUCAGGGUUGUAGUGGGUGUAACGUACCUACUAGCCUACGACGGGUACGGGUUGUGAGAGCAAGAGCCCGGAGAUGGAUUCUGAGACACGAAUCCAGGCCCUACGGGGUGCAGCAGGCGCGAAAACUUUACAAUGCGGGAAACCGUGAUAAGGGGAUCUCGAGUGCCAGCAUAUAAUGUUGGCUGUCCAGAUGCCUAAAAAGCAUCUGUUAGCAAGGGCCGGGCAAGACCGGUGCCAGCCGCCGCGGUAACACCGGCGGCCCGAGUGGUAACCGCUAUUAUUGGGUCUAAAGGGUCUGUAGCCGGCCAGGUAAGUCCCUUGGGAAAUCUGGCAGCUCAACUGUCAGGCUGCUAGGGGAUACUGUUUGGCUUGGGACCGGGAGAGGUGAGAGGUACCUUGGGGGUAGGGGUGAAAUCUUGUGAUCCUCGAGGGACCACCAGUGGCGAAGGCGUCUCACCAGAACGGGUCCGACGGUAAGGGACGAAAGCUAGGGGCACGAACCGGAUUAGAUACCCGGGUAGUCCUAGCCGUAAACGAUGCUCGCUAGGUGUCAGUCACGGUGCGACUGUGAUUGGUGCCGUAGGGAAGCCGUGAAGCGAGCCACCUGGGAAGUAUGGCCGCAAGGCUGAAACUUAAAGGAAUUGGCGGGGGAGCACUACAACGGGUGGAGCCUGCGGUUUAAUUGGAUUCAACGCCGGG